CUAGCUAUGUUAACAGCUAUUCACUUUUUAUUGCAUUGGCAUAGUGCAUCCUAUUUUUAUUUUUUUAUUUAUUUAUUGCUGUUUUAAUUAUCAUUGAGUUGUAGAUCAAUGUUUACAUUUGUUUAUUUCUUUAUUUAUUUUUAUUACAGAUGCAGGGUACCAUCCCUGAUCACACUGCUGUUCAAGAUAUCCAAGGAUUUAUAUCUCAGAACCAGGAGGAAAUUUGAAUGGUUUCUUACUUGCUUAAAGAAUGAGACGUUUUAUCUACAUACACAGAGGGUCCCCUUACAUGGAAGCCGCCAUUUUGUGCAGCCAUGUUUCUACAGAAGUCCUUAACAGACAAACUUUUUUACUAAGUUGUCUCCGACAAUGGCAUGUUUGUCCGGUAGCGGCUACAGUAGCUUCUCUGUGUGUUACAAAAGCAAGAGGUGAGCAGUUGACUGAGCCGUUGGUUGCAAUUCACAACCUCACCACUAGAUGCCACUAAAAUUUACACACUGCACCUUUAAUCCUGUUUCUCCAUCUCUCAUUCUAUCUCUCAUUCUAUCUGUCUGUCUGUCUGUCUGUCUGUCUAUCUAUCUAUCUAUCUAUCUAUCUAUUUCUCAUUCUGUCUGUCUGUCUGUCUGUCUCACUCACUCAGUGGUAGUCUUAUGUCAUUAAUAUUGUGUUUAAUUUGUUCUAUGUAGGGAUAUGCCAUUGCAGCUGACCUUGAGAGUUCACUCUCUAUACCUGCAACUCCUCGUCUGAUACUUCUUGGAGAAACGAGAAGCCGCUUCCAGCGCUGGAUGCUCAGCCUUGAGGGCCAAAUUUGCGAAGGGAUCCAGUCCACCUUUGUGACAGGGCUUGCGUCUUUUUUUUCUGUUUUCACAUCUUUAACCAAGAGCAGGCAGCCUGCACGCUUGAAUUCAUCCAGAGACACUUUGAGGGUAUAAACCCAGAAAAAGGGACAAAUGCUGCAAAGGGGGAGCAAGCUCAUGGACUUUCAGUUGGAUUUCAUUUGAAAAUGGUGAGUAAGAUGUAUACAU